UUUCUUUGGAGAGUUUGAUCCUGGCUCAGGACGAACGCUGGCGGCGUGCCUAAUACAUGCAAGUCGAGC
rnacentral:rRNA from 2 species